AUUGAACGCUGGCGGCAGGCCUAACACAUGCAAGUCGAGCGAGCGGCGGACGGGUGAGUAAUGCCUGGGAAUUGCCCAGUCGAGGGGGAUAACAGUUGGAAACGACUGCUAAUACCGCAUACGAUUGGAUCGCCCAGGUGGGAUUAGCUAGUUGGUGAGGUAAUGGCUCACCAAGGCGACGAUCCCUAGCUGGUCUGAGAGGAUGAGCAGCCACACUGGGACGGGGACACGGUCCAGACUCCUACGGGAGGCAGCAGUGGGGAGUAUUGCACAAUGGGGGAAACCCUAAUGCAGCCAUGCCGCGUGUGUGAAGAGGGCCUUCGGGUUGUAAAGCACUUUCAGCGGGGGGACGUUACUCGCAGAGGAAGCACCGGCUAACUCCGUGCCAGCAGCCGCGGUAAUAC
rnacentral:rRNA from 1 species